rnacentral:rRNA from 1 species
UACGUAGGCAGCGAGCGUUGUUCGGAAUUACUGGGCGUAAAGAGUGUGUAGGCGGUGCUCUAAGUUCGGUGUGAAAUCUCUCGGCUUAACUGGGAGGGUGCGCCGGAAACUGGAGUGCUCGAACGUGGGAGAGGAAAGCGGAAUUCCUGGUGUAGCGGUGAAAUGCGUAGAUAUCAGGAGGAACACCUGCGGUGUAGACGGCUUUCUGGACCAUUGUUGACGCUGAGACACGAAAGCGUGGGGAGCGAUCCGG